rnacentral:lncRNA from 1 species
UAAGCUUCUGUGUCUUUGAAAUUGUUCUUUCCUUUGCUUAUAAUUCCUUUCUCCAGUCUUUCACAUGGUAGGCUUAUUGCAGUUUGAAUGUCACCCUCUCUAUGUUGUACUUUCUGGUCACCUGUUACGGGGAAAGAGUAGAAAAUUCUUUAAAGAGGUCCAGUUAUCCCCUGAGAAAUUUGUUUGUAAAACUUCUCUAGAAGAUUUAUUUUAGGAAAGUGAUUUAAUGGUCCAGGCGAUUAUAGACACAUUAUUUUGACAUAAUGAGUUAAAUAGUAUAUUGGAAAAAUUUGAAAAUGCAAAUGUAAUGAGUUUAAUUGAUUAAAAGACAGUGUUGUUUUGGAAUUAAGCAAUAAUUGCAGAUGUUGAGUUUACUACCUGAAAAAUGUGCUGAUUCAAGAUGCCUUAAAUGUUGAAAGCAUCUGAUUGGUUAUUAAACACUGUCUUAGAAAAGUAUUGACUCAGUUCUUUCUUUCUUUCUUCCUUCCUUCCUUUCUUUCUUUCUUUCUUUCUUUCUUUCUUUCUUUCUUUCUUUCUUUCUUUCUUUCUUUCUUUCUUUCUUUCCUUUCUUUCCUUUCUUUCCUUUCUUUUCUUUCUUUCGCCCAGCAUGCAGCAUCCAUGAGAAAAGUUAAUACAUUAACUACAACGUUAUUAAAGUAGUAACUAUAUCCUUACAAUAUUGAAACAGUCACUGAUAGAGUUGGAGUCCUCAAGACUCUGAGUGAUGAAUGUAAUGGCUUUGAGGAGUUCUGGCCAGGAAUUUUUGUGAAAUGUAUCUCAGUUUGGGAUUGUCUAAUGUCUUCCUUAUAGUUAGAUUAUGGUUAUGGGUUUUAGGGAGAAUAACCAAAGAGGUGAAAUACCAUUUUUAGGUAAUAGGGUUUACAUUCUCUUCAUUAUGGUAGGCCAUUGUUCUGAUUAUAUGAUUUUAUGUUCUACAGAUUACAUAUUAUUGAUAGAAAAGGUUUUGUAAGGUCAAUCCUGCUAUAUAGCACAGGGAACUAUAUCUAAUCACCUGUGAUGGAAUAAAAUGGAUGAUAAUGUGAGAAAAGGAAUGUAUAUAUGUGUGUAACCAGGUCACUUUGCUGUACAGCAGAAAUUGACAGAACAUUGUAAAUCAACUAUAAUAAAAAUUUUUUUAAAAAAUCUAUCUGAUGUAAAGGAAUUCAAACAUAGUUUCUACUCAGGAAGAAGUUUGGAACUACUACAUUAGCAAUUAAAAGCAGUUUAAGUGUAAAAGAGAAAUAAAAGGUCAGAUCCAAGAAAGCAAAUGUUUGGCUAUCUUGGUCAUUACUCUAUCUCCAGAGUCUUGAAGAGUGUGGGACAUUUAGCAGGAUGCAAUGAAUAUUUGUUAAAGAAUAAAUGAAUGAAUGUAUCUUAUAUUUUGGAAGCUGAAUCCCAACUCAACUGUGAUUGUAUGAUGUGGCUCAUAUAUAGAGUAAUAUACUAAGGCAAGUUCUCUGUAUUUGGGUAUAAUAUCAAGAAGUCACAUUUUGAGUUUUAGAACAAAUUAAUAAAUAGUAGUUGAGGUUAGUCACCUAUGGAGUACACUAAUCUAAGAGGUGCCUUUAGAUUGAAAUAUUAUUCCAUAAAUCAAAUCAGGAAGAUCAAAGUUUACUUAAAUUCAAUCAUGGGGAACAAUAAGUAUCCUUUGAGAGGUAUAUCAAGUAAGUAUCCAGUCAGAACAAGGAAAAUAAAAGGAACUUAAUACUAGGAAUUGGCUAAGAUGUUAGAAAUUUGAAAAACAAACACAAGCAAGUGAAAAUUAGGAACAUCAGGAUAUUACUCCACGAAGCUGAAGAAACAGCAGGGAAAUCUUUAUUGCCUGUGACCUAUGCCACUGAGGCUGUUGCUUCUGGAACUGAGAUGUCUGUGUAAGAACCCAGGAUACGAACUGUACUUGCCUUCUGAUGCUACUUCUGCUUCCACUGUAACAACUGCUUAAAAACACUGCCAGAGCUAGAAAAAAAUCCUCCUCCUCCUCUUCCUACUUUUCAAUCUUCCACCAGGCAAGAGGUGACUAAUAGGUAGUCACAUCUGACAAGGGGCCUAGGUAAUGUAUUUGCAGACUUUCUGUGCCAGGAAUGGAGAGGAGGCUUAGGUGAGAGACACCAGUCACAGUGAACACAGAAGGAAUGACUGAACCAUAACCAAGAUAUUAUAUGAUCAAUAAGGUCAGUAAAUGUUUACUAAAAAAUUACUAUGAAGAAGGUAUAGAAGAUAUAAACAAGAUGUUAUGUGAGAUAUUUGGGAAACCUCAAGUGUGUAAGAUAUAAGCCCUGGCUACUGUAAGAACUAUUGUAGUGGGAACACAUACAUCCAUAAUUAAAAAUAUUCAAGGCAGGUGGUAACAAGUAUCCUACUAGGAAUAUAAACAAAGUAGUAAGUAAGGACAAAAAAAAAUCAUUAACUUUAAUUGAGGAAACCUCUGGUUAAAAGGGUUGAACUAUGUAACCUAAUUGACUUGGUUUCAUUUAUUCACUAGUCUACCUAUCUAUUCAACAUUUAUGUAUUCUUAUAUUCAAAAGGUAUUUUUUGAGGCAAUAGGGCAGACCAGUUGAAGGCAGACCAGAGAGAGAUGGCAUCCCCUCAUUUUAUCUAACCAACAUAGCUAUUUUUCAGUAGACCAAAAAUCUAUUCUACGUGAAACUUCUGGUGUAUCAAAUAAUCAGUGGUGUCAGGAUGUGUUCUCAUGUGUUCUCCUCUUACCCCAACUUUUCUGCAUUUUACGUAAAAGACUAACAGACUUUCAUAAGAAAUGUAGAAAUUUAAUUGGACCUUGACCAUGCAAGGAUUGAAAAACCUAUCCUACCCCAAGUUCCAUUUCUAUAUCCUAAAAAAAAU